UACAAAGCGGGAAACGGGCUCAGAGA
rnacentral:piRNA from 1 species